UUAAGAGCUGGCUACUGGGGGGAAGGAUCUUGGUUGGAGAUUCCCUCUUCUGGUGAUUUUUGUGGGUGAACAUAUGGUCAGAUGCUACUGACAUGAGCAAAGACCCAUCUAGGGCUUCCUGGGACGAUGAUGCUACUCUUCUCCUAAUGCAGGGGUGAAGAUCUGUAUGCCUUGGUAGUUAUUGCCAUAUUUACUGACGAAAAAAAUCUCAAAACAUGGUAUAAAAACACACCAAGGGAGAAAUUAUAGUAAUUGACACAACAGAUGGAUAGACAGUGUUGUAGUUACCUGCUGCCAAAGUCAAUCCAAAUAAUGUGGCUGUACAACACUAUGAGCUGCAAGGGAGAGAUGAAAUAAGUUGAUCUGUUAGUUGACCUAAUGGAAUCUCCUUUCCUGGCUAAAGAAAUGGAGGCACCCUUUAUGUUAGGCUCUUCUGUCUAGCAGCAAUUAUUAGAAAACUUGUAAAACUUACUGAGUUUGAGAUCUCUGGCCAGCUGUUUCCAUCUGUGUAAGGAGGCUUAUCACUUAGAUACAGGACAGCUGCAGAAAACUUGUUUCCUCAGGAUAGCCACUUAAAAAGGAAGGGUAUUCACUGAAAAUGAAAUAGUUUAAGUCAAAGGUUUUGUUUGAGUUCGAUGAAUAUCUGCAUGCGGGGUUAGGCAUGAAUUGGGCACGCGCUGCAUCCUUAAAGCUUUCUGUGGCCGAUGGACCUGGGCAGGAUGACCUCCUGGGACAGACGAUGGUAGCAGUCCUGGUUUUAAAGUGCUCUAACAGAAGGUAUGAAAUUUCAUGCAGAGAACAAGUCAGUCUCCAACACCUCCUCAACAAGAACAGCUCUUCAGGGAACUGUGUGGUGAACGAUGUUCUUCCCAAUCCGAAUAAUUCAACAGCCUAUGUUUCCACUGAAAAACACAGUUUGCUUCUUUUCAACACUCUUAACCAUCUUAAGUUGUCCUGCUUUUCCGUGUAUUAUUUUAUUUUUUUUGUUUUACAUCCAUUGUCUUCAGUAGCGGAUGUAGACAAGUUCUGUAAUCCAUCACAAAGUGGAAUGGAUCACGGCAUGGCUCAUCUUCCAGCUGAGGACCUGCGCUGCAAUUUUAGUUAGCAAAUGCAACUUGUCCAGCGGUGGGGCGUUGCAGUUUGGGCUCCGGACAGAAGAGGGGGCCCUUCGGAUGGCCAGAUGGAAAAGCUCAGCCAGAUGUGGUCCAGCUGCGGCUCCAGAGUGCCUCCUGCCGCAGGGCCCUGUGCUGCCGACGCAGUAUGGAGAGAGCUGGGGGCUUGCUGGGCAGAGGAAUCUCGAGGACGGAGUGCUCAGAAGGAGAUGUGUGGUUAAUAUUUCUGCUCCAUUCCGAAGGUGGCUGAGAGAGUACAGAAGCAAUGCCGGAUAUUUGCUCCAGAGCCUCCUUGCUGUUUGAAUCUGCACUUUGGAAGGUUGUGGCUUAUUCAGUCAAGGUUGUAUCUUGUAAACCACCUGAGGAACACAUUCCAUGCAAGGUUGCCUGCAUGUAAAUGUGAUGUUUGACACAAACUGCUGGAUUCCCUGAUAUCUCUACUUCUACCUCGGGUAAAUUUGUAUCGGCUGCACUGAACAAGUAAAAAUGCUUCCACACACUGUAAAGCACUCCCAUAACAUUGAUUCAAGAUUGAUCACUUGCAUGAGGUAAUUCAGAGAGUAGUUACAGCUGCGCAAAACCUUUUAUUCAGGGUUAGAAUUUGACCUAGCGUGAUAACCAGGCAAUAAAAUAGGAGUUGGCUGUCAAUUUCAGGAGAAAUAAGGCAUCACCAGGGCUUAAAGAUCUGCUUCACAACGUUUCUAUCAAAUAAGUCACAUCUCCUGAGUGGAUAUUUCCACAAUUUUUGACAAGGAAGAAAGAAAAUAUUGUCUUUGCCUAGAUCUUAUGAAGUGAAAUAAAACUGCAAUGAUUGCUAGCCAAGCACAUCUAAACACAGAAUUAAUGCAAGCACUCAGUGUGCAGAGAUGUUUUUAAAUCUUGAUUUACAGUCUGUGUUUUGUAAAUUAACAGAAUCCUCACAACCCUCACAUGAUCUUCAUCAGAUAAUUUUGUGUUUGAAACAUGUGCCAUAUGUUUGAAACUGACCCUAAUGCUUCUGAAGGAAUGAGUGGUUGGUGUUUUCAGGAUGCAGCCUGGAAUCCAGUGCCGGCUGGUGAGUCAUUAAAUAAGGAGAAUAGCAUUUACAGGACGUAAUACAAUAUAUCAGUUUAGCAGAACUGAAAUUUAACUUUCUCAAAUGCCACUUCAGAUAAACAGAACGUAGUCUUUCUCCACUGGAACUGGACCAGGUGCAGAAUAAGCUGCUAUAAUUAUGCCUGCCCUACCAUGAAGACCACUGCAAGUAUUUUAAUCUUUCUUAAUUCUUACAUUACAUUAUGAAAACUUCAUUGAAAAAUACAUUUCAACUGUAAAACUGUUUGAAGUAUGAAAUCUAAAGUGUGUCUUGAAUAAAUGUUGCACAUCUUCAUUCUGAAUUGGUGAAAACCAUAAGUAGGAGAUAUCAGAAUUUAUAGUGUUGUGCUAUUUUAUUGUUACUGAAUGUGAUAGAAACACACUAGGAUAGAGUCUAGAGGCCAAGUUUGCCCAAAUAUAUGAGGUCAACUCUGAGACUAUUAUAGGCUCUGGAAGAACAAUUACAGAAGCUAUAAAAGUAUUCGAUCCUUGGAAAAGAAGCACUGGCUUGUAUAGGAGUAAUAGGAUAAAGCAAACACUGUCUUGUGGCUAUAAAUUCAGCUUCAUAGGGAUCAAUUGCCUUUGCCCGUCCAUGUACAGUUAACAACAAAAAGAAUCAGAGAAGCGCAAAGUAUUUUUUUCUUUCACAUGUGACAUAGAAAACAAAAAAGAACAGGAAAAUGGGAUGCUUGACUGCUUGUUUUCCUCAUGUUUAUUUUCUCCAAAUACUCCAAAUACUCAUGAUUACUGUCUUCUACUAUGGAAAUUGAUGAAGAAAUCAGAUACGUAUUUGCUGCAGUUUCAGAAACAUAAUAUAAAUCUACUUGUUUAGUUUGUCUUGUUCAACAGAAAUUACAAGGCGUCCUGACAGCAAAAUAGACUAAUAAUCAUAACAAAUCUAAUUCAUCUCUGUUCUACUUUGAACUAGAAUGAACUUUCUCUGCAAGACAAGGGAACAACUCACAGAUCUGUUAUUCUGGAAGAAUUAUAAGCAAAAUCAAUACAUGUUGCUCAUGACACACAUCAGUGGAUUGUCAUAACAGUGAUUAUGAGUUCUCCAUCAGUAGACAGAGUGAAUGCUCAGGCUACUCUGAAAGUUUCUGUUACUUGACAAAACAAAAGUCAGUUUUGUGGCCUACCUCAUCCUAUCUUUUUAUUUAAGUAAAUGUAGAAAAAGCUUGCAAUCAGCAUUAUGGACCUUGCUGCUCACUUGCCAUUUGCUAAUGCGGCGGUGUCAAGCUAAUAGAUUUUUCAGUGAAUGGCCAGAAAUAAAAGCAGCCUCUAUUGAGUCUGUUUACUUUGGUCAUGACUUCCUAUUUAUUGUUUUCAGCAGAGAAAGAAGCUCAGAAAACUAAUGUCCAGUAACAUAUGACAAUUCAUAUCUUUACAAUUUCAAUAUUUUUCCUGGGGAAAAGAGGAGACAUUGUGCACACACAACAAUCAGCACAGUGUCCUCUAGCUAAUGAAGGACUGAACACUACAAUAAAGCUUUGAAAAGAAAGGUUUGAGGUAUCUAAACUGAAAGGAAAAGCUGGGAAAACUUUCACUUCAAAUUUCCUUGAAAAAAAACAACAAACAGAGAGAGACAUGAUGCAGCAAAGCUGAGGGAGAUUUUAAAAGCAGGAGGAAAAUGUUAGAAUAGAAAUACCAGUCUAAUAGGAUUUGAGAAAACCAUCCAAUGGAAAUAGCAAAAAUGAGAAAAGUUAUUAUGUUAGUUUUGAACUACCAAGGAUCUGCAAUGUGCAAGAAAUCUGUGAGAAAACAAAAAACCAUUAUAUGGGAGAAUCAUAGUUUACCUCCCAGUAGUGUCUGAAGGAGAAACGAGCCAUCAAUUCCAGUGGAUGAUAAAUAAGAAAUUUUUUAUCACUCUAUGUAUUUAUUACCUGCAGCAACUUGGACACGUAUUAUCAUGUCCACCUGUAACCGUAUGCUUUGUAUUACUCCUUCUGGUGCAGGAUGCACCAAAGGAAUAAGAGGAUGAGCAUCCAGCCAAGUCUACAGAAUCACCUGCAUGAGCUAGAACCAGAGCUAUGACAUCCUCUAUUCUGUGAUCCUAAAGAAUUUGUUAGGAGGAAUUAGUUCUAUGUCAGCUCAUCAGUUUGUUUCUUAGUUACUUGGCUAUUUAUUUCCUGACUGUAUAAUUAGUGAAUUCUAAGAUGUCAGUUACUUCUUUACUGCUGUUCUUCUACUCAGUGGGACUGCGCUUGCCUUUCUGGACAGGGGAAUACAUGGUACUGCAGUGCUGACUCUGCACAUGAAGGAUUUAGACCACUUAGAUAGAGCAAAGAAACAGUGUUCUUUGCUGUGUGUGCACAAGGAGUUUGCUUCAGUAUUGGUACUGCCAGCGGCAUGGGUAAGAACAUAAGGCUGCCUACUUCUCUUAGUGUAGUCUCUUCCUACUUAGUGAAUAAACUUCUUACAUUUCUCCUUCUUUCUACUUGGGUAGACAACUUAUAGUCACAUCUAAAAUCUAAUAGAUUAGCAGAACACAGGUGAUGCUUUCAAUCUGGCUUCCUACUGUAUGUGUCAUUCUUUAGCUUCAAUAUCUUUUAGCCAAUGUUUAAACAAAAUUGGUAGAGGGUAGAUGAAAGGUGUCCAACCCGUUGGCUUCUGUUGCACUGAAUGAAGAGGAAUUGUCUCAGGCCAAAUAUACAUAGGUUGCUCUGAAAGUAAUGCCUUGUAUUUAUUUCCAUGGAAACUACAAAAGAUAGAAAGUGCCCAGCAACACUUUUUGAUAGCACAAAUUCUCGGCUGCAAAACACUAUUUUUCAGCAUACUCACCAUCAUUAGCUAUGCAUUUUCGUCAGUGAUGAACAAGAGCCCGCAUUCCAUGCUCAUCUGCACCUGUAGAAGUGACCCACCAUUGUCACUGUUGAAGGACACCAACCACCAACUCACUGUGCUGACAUCCAGUGUUUGGUCUCCAUAAACAAUCAGCAAGAGUUGAUACAAGCUGCAGCCCCAGCAUGUCCACAGCCACGGAGCAGUCCUAAUGGCAGAGACCAGGCGGGGCAGAGUCUGGUGAUCUCCAGGCACAUCUGAAGGGAUGAAGCCUUCAAGUUGGCAUGCCAAAUCAGCAAGGCAGGGAUGGGAUCAGCAAAGCAUACAACCAGCAUAUCUGCGAGGUGACUCGGGCAAGGACUGAUAGCAAGGGCCCGGGCCUGGGGGAAGAUAGCACAGUUUGUGGCUCUUUGUCGCGCUUUGCUCUUCAAAGCAGCCUGAUCCCAAUUCCACCGUAUCAAAGUGACCUCUAGGAGCAGCAGCCAGAACAAAGGGGAGGAGGCUGGAACCUGUCUGUACAUGCAGGUCCUGAUACCAUGCAGUGAAGUAUUUGUGGGAUGUACAGCGCUUUUGUGUUUUUGUUUUUUACAUUCAGAGUAGGGCUCUUAAAUCUGUUACUUCUGAGCAAGAAAAAAAUUGCAAUGAAUUAAGCUAAUUCUCAUUUAUUCAAAACCCAGCAAUCCAGCUGUGGCUUCUCAUAUGCAGAUUGACUUGGCUCCUAUCCUAGUUUUAAGACUUUUACCACAUUUAGCAAUAACCUUCCAUACCUAGCUUUGUCUGCAGCUCCUCAUGUGGCAACCAGUUGUUUAUAAGACAAAGACCAUCUGGUUAUCAGAAAAACUAGUGAGAUUAUGGAAAGAAAUACAACCACCAAAGCCACAGAAUUAUAAGGUGGGUGGGUUGCUUGUGACCACCCUCAUCCACAGACAGCAGGCUUUUGUGGGGCACCUCCAAGUAAUCGUCUGCAAUCAGCAUGCUGGCUGAAUGAUACAUGGAGCAGGGCCUUAGGAAACUAAAUGUCCUUGUGUAGGGAAGUUCUGAGUCAUAUGGAUGGGAACUGUUGAUCACGGCCUGAGCCUCUGAUUGCCCACCUGAGGCAAGCACUGAGUCAGCCAUGGAGCACAGGUGAAGGCGAUUCAGCUGCGUGACCAGAAGAGGUGGAGCUUGGCUGCACCUCUCCUAGACCCCAUUUAAGGGCUGACUGCCAUUGGAAAGGUUCUCUUUCUGGAUCUCCCUUCUUAUGGAGUUUUCUACUGUAAGCUCAGGACGUGGCCUUGGCUUCCGUUAGUGUGCUGUCCUCCCUUGUCUGUCACCUGGCAGAAGACAGCACCAUUUUUUCUAUGGGUUUGGAUGGGAGCUGCCAUAGGCUGCAUUCUGGUUCAUCCCUGGGCAAGUGCCUGACCAUGAGCACUGCAUGCAUAUUGCUUUCAUCCCUGUUCCUUUGUUGGAUCAAAGCAACAAGUUCCCUCAAUGACAAAACUGAGCAGUCUCAGCCCUGGCAGAUCAUACCCGUGUGGAGGUUUGAUGAGCAUGGACUUACACCAGCAUGAGAGGAAUGCGAGAUAGGGUUACGAUUUCUUUUCCAGGAGAGUCACGUUGCGCAGCUCCCCACGUGCACCAUUUAUAGAAGGACCAAGGGCUGCAGCUUGUCCUGCAGUCCUAACAGAGAUCAAGCUGUUACAAGGACUCAGGACAGAGGAAUCCUACCCACAGGAUCGUCCCGCUGCUCAUCAGUACGGCCUUUGUCCAUCCUGCAGCCCUUUGAGCUUGGCCUGUGUGAGUGCCUAUCUGCCUUCAGUGGAGGAAUGGUAACACCUCCAUACUCAACAAAGUCAGCGCCUCAAAUCUAUUUGGAGGAGCGGCAGCUUGUACAGCAGAGAGACUGGGAUUGUGGUUGCUAAAGUAGUUUAUGUGUUGUUUAGCCUUUCAUUUUUUUAAAAGGAGGUGAUGGUUUUUAGGAGAUUCAUCAAUUAUAUUGAUAAGCAAGAGCAGCAGCUCACUGUAAAGUGUUUAGUCUUGAUAGUCAACUCUAUCUAAGGAUGAGAAAUGGUUCUACAUGAAUAAACUGGGUGAUUUCCUCUCGUUCCAUUUUUAGCUGAAUGAACAUGUCUCUGCUGUCAGAACGAUGAACCCUGGAUUCAUACAGUGUGGGGCGGACUAAUGAAUGCCAUGGGAAGUACCACCCUCAUAAAGUCCAAAAAAGGAAAAUAAUGAGACUUCUAGGACAUGCUCUUAGUGGAAUAUGGUGGCACACCAGGAGUUGUUUCAAAUGAAAUGUAAAACCGAUAUUUUUUGCAAGGUGAAGGACACAGACUACAGCCAGAAUGUUUUGCUUCCAAAUAGACAUCUGGCAAAUAUCGACCUACAAUUGUGUUUAGCGUGGAAUGGAAAGUAUGGGCUGUGACAUGAGCAGUCAAUAGUUUUUUAGACCAUCGAUCCUUACAGUGGCUAUUGAUUGUUUUUUAGGCUAUAGCACAAUCUAUUUUUUCAUUUAGCUUAGCUUAAACUAAUUGAAUGGUAAGUUGUGAGUCUGUACAUGUGAAAAGGACUCAAUACGCAUUGGUAAUAUAUAAUAAAAUGAAUACUCAUUUAUAAGUGCUUGUUUCUCCCUUAACAUUCAGUGGCACCACUCAAAGAUGACUUUGGUAGAACAAAAAGUGGAAGUUUACUUCAGGGAAGUCCAGGUGUUACCAUUCACCCUCUGCUGCCUGACUUGAACUUUUUUCCCUCUCAAAAUUUGACUUCCAUGAAAAUGCCCAACUCUUGGAAUGAAUGCACAGGGAUCUAGCUGACUUCUUUAGCACAUCCUCUUUCUGUUCACUGUCAUCCCACCUGAUUUGUUUGCUUUUUUUUUUUUUUUUUUUUCUGCAGAGAAAAUCUGCUGUUGCCUUCUACUUGGGGACUUUAUAUAAGGUUCAGGAAGUACUCUUGAGUGUACUGGAUUUUAGAAACUGUAGAAUAAGCUAAAGGCAUUUUCUGUCCAGUUAGAAGAAGCUGUACGUGUACAAGAAAUGUCCAUUAACUACUACUAAGCGAGAUCAUGCCUCGAGGUGCUAGUUCUUGUGAUUGCUGUUUAUAUUUCAGGGCAGACUGGAGUCUUUCUUUUGAUCAAGACAUAAUAUGUCCACUACAAGCAACAGCCAGCUAAUACUUCAGCCAUUCUGCAAAUAAGUUAAUCCAGGGUUUGGAUUUGGUCCAUCCUUUUAGAGCUAGAAGCAGAACUGAGGUGUUUAUAGUACAGCAUCAGUGCUCAUUUAUGCUGACCUUUGGAGUAACACAGUGUCAAACAUAUGUAUUGAUAUUUAUCUUACCUAGACAAGUUGAGAAUGCAUCAUUAUGCCUUCUUCUUUCCUAGGUCCAAGAAAGUGAGCCACAAAUCUUAAUGCUGUCUACAUACCAAUUGUGCAUCAAUAGCACUGGGGAAUGAAACAGUUUUUUUUUUCAAGUUGUCAUGUAUAUCUUGAUGCAUUGCAUUUGUGCAAUUCAAUUCAAUACAAUUCAAAUAAUUCUGGGAACAGAUUUUUAUCAAAGUUGAAAGCAUUAAUUAUUUAAAAAUCUAAAACAAGAAAGAAAGGUAUAAGACAAGCAUAACAAAAACGGAAGUGCUCCUUAUAAUUUUAAAUUGAAUUCUCUUGAACCAUGAUGCAACUUAACCAAUCAAAAAAUGUUUACUACUGAGUAUUCUGAGAUUUCAAAGCUCACCUCUGAUGUUGCUUUCAGGUAAAGUUAACAUACCUGCAAGGACAAUUUACUGUCCUUCUUUGGAUAUUGAGCUGCAUAACUUUUAGUUACUAAGAAAAUAAGAAUUCACUACAUAUCGUGUUUUGGUGGGACUAGGUGGAACAUUUGUUUAUAAUUAAAGAUAUCUCCUUUCUUUGGGAAGUGAAAAAACUGCACAGCAAUUUCUUAUCUUUGUGCUACUUUGAGGUGAAUUUGAUCUACAGUGUGAAAUGUGAAGCUGAAUCACAGCUUCACAAAAGACCCAGAGUCACUCGGGUCAGGGUCUAGAAUCAGCUUUUUCUUGAACAGCACCUGGUUCCAUAUGAAGGGCUGAGGCUUGUACCUUCCUUCCUGUGGUCAUUUGGGCUCAGUGAUGGCAUGUGGUUUGAUUGAGUCUGGGCCCAUCUUUAAUGGGCCCAGACUCAAUAGUGGUGAAUCUUGGGCAAAGUGCUGAGCUUUCCUGACUGUUUUAUUGGCAUCAGAAUAGCAAAUAAAAUAGGACUAAAAGAGGACUUCAUCAUACAGGCAGCAUUUUAGUUUUCAAAGCACACAAAAAAUAUUUUAACUCCUUAGCUGCUGCUUUACUUUUGCCUUGAUUUUAAGAAAAAGGGUUAUGUGAGUACUAAUAGAACCUAAAAGGCUGUUAAUUGUUUGAAAUAAAAACUGAAGUAGCUUUUUUAUUUUCUGCAGCGUGGUCUAUUUUAGCCUUAAAGUUUACUUAGGAUGGGAGCUCCUCCAUUAAACAAAGGUUAUUAUCAUUCUCUGAAUUUCUCUGACAAAAGAAAUUGGCCUUGUAAACAUUUAAAUGUUUAAAUGUCUUCUGGACAGUAGCUGCUCAUCACACAAGACAGUAUUUCAGAACAUCUUUAUUUUCUCUGAGAAACUGCGAAACUACAGUAGAAUGCCAGUUAUUGCUGGACGAGCAUGCAGAGCAAUAUUGUUCUGUUGCCUGGUAACCGGUGAGAGGGAGGCACUUUAGAAACAUGAUAGAAAGAGAAAGAGAGCCUCGCUGCACACACUUGAGCAGAGGACUUAGCAAAACAGUGCUUCUUCCGGGUGGGUUUGAAGAGGAGUCUGGAUUAAGGUUCUCAGAGUUUCCAUCAAAGAAAAAAGAAAAACGAACAACCCAAAAAAGGCUAUUUUCUUGUGUUAGUAUUCCAUGAGUAAGCUCAUUUUCAAGCCGUGUUUAAAAUUAGCACCCUUUGGCAGCAGGAAUGUUCCUUUUUCUUACUGCAUGUUCUCGAAUACUUUCAGAAGGUGUGUUCCUCUCAGAACAGUGUGCUAGCAGGGCUGUAGCAAAACAAACAGAAAUGUUCUGAACUGAUGUUCUCAACGAGUCCUGGUGGUCACAAAUGUCUUAUCAACGCCAGAAUGCUCCGGCAGUUCUUGGAUUAUCAACGUGCUAUGCACCAUAAUAAAAACAAUUAAACAGCAGAUUAGCCGAGUCAAACAAGCAUGAAAGAAAAUGAAAGAUAUUUUAGCUGGAUCUCACUGCGGCCAUAGCUUUCUGUUUUAUAUGCAACAGAAAGUCCGCAGCAGAUGAAGGCAGAUUAGAUGAGUUUUCAGGAGGCAAAGUAACCUUUGGCCAGGCUCAGACAGGCCGCUCACGAGGGUUUCAGCGGCUUGGUUAACGAACUUUGCUGUGACGCCUCCCUGACUUCCUGCUCCUGACCACGGCGGGCUCGGUGAGCACAGCAGCAGGAAGCUCUGACCUCCUGAAGGCAGCUCGCUGCUGCCAGUCACGGCCCUGCUGUAGGAGUUACAAGGGAGUUGACGUGUGGCAUGAGGAGUGCAUGAAGGGGCCCCGAGUAGUGCGUUCACUUUCUGCUUUUCCAGGACUUGAAUAUCAUAAAAAUAGCACAGCUUUGAAUUUUAUUGGGAAAAACCACAAAGGAUACUCACUACAGAAUGUGAAAACAAAGAAAAUAGCCUUGACCAUGUGUGUGUGAGCAUAAUCCUCAUCCAGAGACCAUGCUGAUAAACAAUGUGAAACAAAGUAUUAUUAAGAAUUCAACAAGUUAGAUAGGAAAAAUAUAGAAGCCAAAGAAACUGCUUUUUCCCUCUGAACAAUAUUUAAACAUUUUAAGUGGUACCUUCUCAGUCAGAAAUCACGAAUGAAAACAGCAAAAUCAAAGCUCUGGGAUAAUUGGUCAGAGAAAGAGCUGAACUUCGUUGCAAGGAGCUGGGAUAAACACACCUGCAUUUCUAAAUACCCAGGGAGCCUUUGUAAAGAUUUAUAAGAUAUGAAACAUAUGAACUUAAGUAAAUCAGUCAUUGAAUUUCAUUGCCUGUCUUAUGUUAAAAUGCUGCUCUUCAUGAAGAUUAACCAAGAUAAUCUUCCCUUCAUUGGCAAUGCCACCUUUUCGCCUGCACAGAAUCAUUCAUGUAAAAUGGCUGGUAUUAGUACAAUGCAUUUUUCUUGAGACUUCAAAUAAACCUAAAAUAUAUGAAGUACCUUAACAUAAUUAAAACAAAUGAAAAUACAGGGAAUUUUCUGUUAGAACUGUUAGAAGUCAGUGAGCUCCAUUGCUGCAAACUGGCAGAUCCUCUGGGUAUACACAGGGCUUCAGCUCUUCACUGCCCCUUGUCCUGAAUUCCUUCAAGUUGCACACAUGUGGACCAGCAGCUAUUUUUCUCUAUGGAGGAGAAAGAUGAUCAAGUGAUUAGAAAGAGGGACAGGAAUUUUGGAGGAUCCAUAUUUAACUGUUGGACAUUUCCAACAUUAUGCAGAGAAGGUCUAUGGGGUCUUUUUCAAGCAGACGAAAGAUCAUCCUGUUUGCAUUCCAAGCUGGAUGGCAAGGGGCCAGCUCUGAAGUGAAAGGUGGCAUGGAUUUGUACAAUGGCAGUGGCAGAGAGCCUUGAUCUUGAACCUUCCGUCUUUUUUUGUAACACAGCUAUAAAUAGCAUUAAUUCAGAAACAAUUAAAUCAGCAAUCUUAUUCUUCAUAGAAACAGACGUUUGUGUUCUGUUUCUUGAUUGGGAAGAAUUUCAGAAUGUAGGGAAAAAAAAUGGGAUUUUUUUUAAGUGCAGCAAGAACUUGACAUCCUCUUUCCCCCAAAAGUGGCCUUAUUAAGUACUGAAAUGAUGACACAAAGAAGUCCAGAAGCAUGCAUUUAGACUUCAGCUUCUUCUGUCAGGCCAUAUGCAUACAGAAAUAUAACAGUUGUUUGAAGGAGAAAAAUCCCUUCUUCAGCCUGUGUCUGUUACUUCAUCAUCAUAUCUGAAGAUGUCUAGUUCUUGCAUUAACAAUCUUUUCUUGAGGACUGUCUAGUUUUCUGCUUCUGCUAUACAGUCAAAACCCUUGACAGCUAAACAAAUUCCUUCAAUUUCAUUGUAAUAGUCUCAAGACAUUCUUUAUUAUAUAUUUCUUCUAUCUUACAAGCCUUUUUCUCUAACUUCCUCUAACUGCCACUUCUGUCUUUUCUUCAGUUGUUUUUCUGAUUUAAAUGGCUAGCAGUUCUUAUCUUUAUCUUACCGUGACUUUCUAUUUGCCAGUUCCUUGGUGUUAUCUUUCUCUCCAACUUUGACUCCAUUCUUUUUCUAUUUCCCCAUCCCUCAGCCACAUAAUGCUAUGAAGUGUGAUUACAGUAAUCCUGAAAUUUGUUAUAAAUGAAUGUUAAUAGUUUUUACUACUAUGUCCUUUUGAUCCUUUCUGCUGUUUUCCCUUUUCAUUAAUCAUUUUAAUCCAUUCAUUCUUCCUUUUUGGGCAGUUAUCAAGACUGAUCAUACUGUUUGGUUGUAGUUUUUUUAUCUUACGUAGUGGGACAAGAAGCAAUUUUUACAAUGAGUUGAAGGGAAAAAGCGUAGGUCUUCCUUUGGUCACCUAGCAGGAAGUCGGAGCUGGUUGGGGGAAUGAAGAAUGGAAAUGUUUUUUAACACAUGAAAAUGACUUAGAGGAUUGCAAGCUGGAAAAACUUUGCUUUCCCAGCCUGCCAAUAUUUUUUACUUGCAGGCAAAAAGUGAGAGAAAUAGAAAUUCUUCAGGUACUGGUUAGUCUUACCAUUGUCCCACUUCAGGUUCCUCCUCUUGGUGACUCUUCUUCCAGGAGUACUUUGCCAUAGCAAAGAACAGAAGUGGGGAAUUUCCCUUCUGUUUUUAUGGCAGAAGGAAAAGUGGUGACUUCCACUUAUUUCAGCUGCUGUUUACUCAGAAAACAAAGUUGCCAUAUACUAAUAAUGACAUUUUGUACAUAGGCAUUGAUCUGAAAAAUCCAGAGAGCACAGUAGAAAUUACAACUGAUAGUCAGGACUCUGACUUUUGUGGAUACUUUAUGCAGAACAUAAAUGCUUGAGAGAUGAAGAAGAGUAUUUUCUACUCACCGUGUUUCUAUCAGUAUUUGUGGUAAUAGUACAAUAGAUGCUUAGUUGAGAUGUCUGACCAGAUGUUUCAACCAUGAAGCUAUUUCCAGUAAAGACGUUUUGAAUAUGCAUAUGAAAGCAUCUAUAAAUACUGUGACUUAUUAGCAACUUUUAUAGCCAAAAAUAAAGCAAACUAGUAUGACUGUUAACUUAUGCUUCAGAAGUUGAAAGAUUAGGUAACAUUAAAGGCUGGAAUUAAUUUCUGUUGAGGCUUGUGCUGGUUAAUUCAGCACAGCCAAGCUUGCCAUCUCUAUGGGACAAAGUCUGGUGAUCAUUUUAUGCAUGUGAGCAAUCCAAAAGUAAUUAAUAGGAUUAAGGAACUGCAUGACAAGUUUUAAUAAGGAACACAGUCUCACUGACCCUGGUGAUGCAAUCAGCCUACCAGUCUCAAACAACAAGAAAAACUACAUGUUCCACCGUGUUAGUAACUUUUUAAAAAACUGUUUCAAAUGAUUGUCCACUGUAGUUUUCUCAGAUGAUUGAAAUAAAAUCCAUUUCUAUUUGAGGGUAUGAUGAGUUUAAUGAACUCCUUCUGCCUUUUUUAGCAGGCAUAUGCUAAGUCCUGCAUGACUUUUUAUAAUUCAGAAACAUGACUAGGUUGAGUUGGUUAAUGAGGAUUUUGACUGACAUUCAUUGCUAGAACUUCAUUCCUCUUAUAUACAUAUAUUUUCCCUUUUCUGUGGUAUUGUGUGUCUUAAAUUUUAUAACUAGUUACACUGUCACCAGCCCACAGUUAAGUGCUUAGUAGCAGCAGUGUGUAUGAGUUAACUUUGGUCCUCAAAGUAAAGUCAUAAUGCACUGCAGCAUGGGUAGACCCACCGUUUAGCCUCAUGGACAUGAUAAAGUGGAGAAAACUAUAGAAGGAGCUCAGGUGACAAAAAUCAAUUUAUUUUAUUUACCUACUCUCCUAUAAUGGAAGAGAUGUGAUUUCCCUCAAAGCUGUGAAAAAGUUUAAUAUGCAACUGUGAAGAGAAUUUGCAAAGCAUAUCAUCCUGAAAUCACAAAUUACAAGCUUUAUCUUUUUCUAUGUGAGAAUUUAAUGAAAGAUGUUGACAGUACUGAUGCUUUGGUUAGUUUGCAAGAGUAGUUUAGGUUUUAACAAGGUAUGAAAUCCAUUGAAGUCAGCUUACUUUGCAAGCUCCCACAGUAAUAGUUUCUUCUAAUUACAAGAAUAGAUGACUUAUGAAAUGCCUUAUGUUCCAGAAGUCAAAUGUCUCUGCAUAUGUCCAAUAGUUACCAACAGAUGUAAGGAGAGACAAAAUGAAACCCAAUCCUUCCCAGAAUUCUGGCUCUCAGCCCAUUUUGUAACUCUGUAACUUCUCCUUAGAGGGCAGAGUACAACCAGAGGAGGUGGCAAACUGUGGUUGCAUGCUGCUUGUAAUGAUGCAAAAGAAGCAUCCCAAGAGCAAGUUUGUUGUUGUGGUCUCUCUGGUAAAACAUAUGCGCCUUCGUUUAAGUGCUCAUGAUGCAAAUCUUACUCAUUGUGUCUGUCUGUUUUCAUAGAAGAAAAUAGAAUUUUUGCUCCAUGGAAGCUUUACCCAAAAUAACCUCAGAUAUUAUUGUUAUGAAAUAAGUUUCUCCAAACUAGAAACAAAGAGAAAACUGUUUGUUAGUGCUUUGAAGAGUGGCAAAGAGGUACAAUGAACUCUUAUUUCCACUAGAAAUAACUUCUCAACACAGUACCUCCAAAAUAGUGCCUAAGUCGAGGCUUAAUAUUUAGCUUGCAAACUAAGGCCUUAGGGGAACUGGAUUUCCAGAAAGACCUUUAUGUCUGCUCUUUAACUUUCCAUUAAAGCGUCUAGUUCAAUAUUUUAAAAGGCAGGGAACAUUGUUAUUCAGUUUUGAAAAAUCUUGACCUUUUUUAAACGUAUAAACAACGACUCUCGUUUUCAAAACAGUGUGACUUAAGGCUACAUUGCAGCCAGCUAACCCCACAGCAUGAUAGUCCUAAUAACAGGCAGUUCAGAGAAUAACAUUUGAAUGAUCUUGAUUUGGAAAAGCGUCCCUUCUGGAUUCAGUAGUCUGUAGGGGAACUGUUAAGCUCUUGUUAAUCCUCAGCUGUCAAAUUAAGUAGGCUGUUAGCCAAACUAAUUGGCAUGAUAGGUAGGACAGAGGGUAAACAUUCCUUAGGCUGCAAUUAAUAGGCUGAAAUGGUUGAUCUGCUGAUUAAAAAAAAAUAAUAAAAAAUAUACAUAUAUAAAAAUGACCAUACUUACUGCAAGUGUAGCGAACUCUCCAAAAUGAUAAACAUAAUUAAUUUGAAGGACACAGUACUAACAAAUGCUUUCCAGUCAAUAAGUCAGUUGGUUUAGCCUAUGUUUGCCUACCUACACUUUUGUUAUCUUAGAUACCCAUUAGUUCAUAUUCCCUCACAUGUCCAAGUCUCCUCUUAUGUGCGUACAGCACACCUGCACUUUACAGAUGUAUACAGUAAUGCAUUAUUUAUACCUAAACUUUGCCUUGGAUUAAUUAUGAAUUAAAUUCUGACUUUAAUAGGACUACUUAAACAUGUAUACUUAAUUAUAGGCAAGAAUAAUAAACGAGUAUAUGCAAGAUCAUGACCCGAACAGUGAAGUCAGGCAAUUUAAGAAAUUAUCACUGGAAUUGCAGAGAUACUUACAAUAAUGAAAAAGCAAAUUCCAAGCAGAGAUGUCAAAAAAGCAACAUUCAGACGAGUUAAUUGCUAAUUAAAACUUCUCGUGUUUGGAAUAAAAAAAAAAAUAUUUAGGAUAUUAGUAAAAACAUCCUAAUAGUAUUUGGUUUAUUUAAAUACUGGUCGUGUAAUUGCUGGCUUGGGACUUAAACAUGGUCUGUUUCUUGGCAGGUUUCUGCUGCCAUGCUAUUUGAGUUAGAAAAGUUCAAUGGGUAAUAUUAGCUUAUCUGUGGAACUCUGAUAUUUAAUAGGAUUUUAUGGAAAUAGCUAAUAUGUGCACAUGGCAGCAACUUCUCACAGUUCAAUAUUGUCACAAAAGUGUCUUUUGAUUCCAUUAUAAUCUUUAUUUCAUUUAACAAGUAAACAAAUAAGGCUGCUGAGGCCAACACUUAUAAUAGCAAGAAAGUUUCUUCACUCUCUGACAUUCAAAAGUUAUGGCAAAGAAAGUACAUGGUUUACAUUUGUAUUACAUGUAUUAUUAUGCUUUGGAACCUUGAGCUCGCAAGGAUAAGCAGGGUAUCAAUAAGCAAAGGCCAAUUUUGUGGCCACUUCUGAAACUUUGGU